GGAUUGUUGGAUAAACUGUCGAAGCCUCGGGUUCACCCUAUCCUCCUCUUCGCCAUGAACAAGAAGGAUCCGUAUCGGCGAAUAAGAGCUUAAGCAUGAAAAGCACCAUAAGCGUGGUCAUGGUAAUAGAUCAUCUUAUGGUGCAUACCGGGUUAAGCCAUAGGGUCCAGUCCUCACUCUUUCCUCGAACAAUCUCCAAGGAGCAUACAUACCUCUGUCUUCAUCCUGGAAUGUUAUCAAAGAAGCUAGAUUGACGUUAGAAAUCUUUGGUGAUAAUAAUAUAUGAUGGAGAAUAAACCUACCAGCCGAGGGAAUAGAGUCCGGGGAACGGUGGAAUUCCAGUUCCAGCGCCGAUCAUGAUUAGGAGAGGAGUUACCAUGAUCAUUUCCAGCUCUCAUCCUUCAGCUGCAGUUGGAACCCCAAUCCCUGGCAAUAUGGAAAUGAAUGCUUGAGCUCUGUGAUGUCGUUUUUAUCCUUUGUGGGUGUACAAGAAAGAAUCUGCUUUUCUUUCCACUUCUGAUGACCAAUGACUUGAGGCACGCAAAAAGGAGUAUUCUCCUUCAGCCGGUGGAUGCUCCAGAUCUUUAUCAAGUGUCUGUGAGAAUAUGAAAUCAAAUUCUGGAAAGAAGCUUCAAUAUAACAACAAAAGUUAUGCCAUGACAUGUCAUAUAUUAAUGAUCUUUUGCAGCUACCCAUGUAGAAAUGGAUGUGAUCAUGAGCUUGAACCGAUCUUUACCUUGCACCAUGUAUUCAAAAAAAGUUAUAUAGCUAUGAAUUGUGAGAUGACUUAA